UUAAUUUCAAAGUUCUGUUGGAUUCUACAUUUGCAGAAUGUGUUGCCAUGGGCUUUAGUUCAGACUCUUGUUCGGAGCAUUGCAAUUUUCAAGAGUAAUUUUUCUAUUUGCACUUGAGUCCCUGCCCUUACUUACGCCCCCCAACUUGCACCACCCCCAACCCGUCAACUGGCUCAUGAGUCCUGUUAGGAACCGACAAUAUGUAUGGUCCGAAGAUGUGAGGCAAUUUUGGUGAGCGUCUAGAAGCCAUCGGCGAGGCCAAUGAAUCAGUUUUACCGAUUUUCACUUUGGGUUCUGGCUUCUCCAAUUCAAAACAGGGCAACAGCAUUCCGGUACAUUGCCAGCUCACUUCUACGGCUUGGCCAUCUCAUUUAUCGUAUUGAAUAUUACUAUGCUAAUCCAUCCUUGUAAUUUCCAACCAAUGCUAUGU
rnacentral:misc_RNA from 1 species